rnacentral:rRNA from 1 species
CCUACGGGAGGCAGCAGUGAGGAAUAUUGGUCAAUGGUCGGGAGACUGAACCAGCCAAGCCGCGUGAGGGAUGAAGGUACAGAGUAUCGUAAACCUCUUUUGUCAGGGAACAAAGGCGGGGACGCGUCCCCGGAUGAGUGUACCUGAAGAAAAAGCAUCGGCUAACUCCGUGCCAGCAGCCGCGGUAAUACGUAGGGGGCGAGCGUUAUCCGGAAUUACUGGGUGUAAAGGGAGCGUAGACGGUUAUGUAAGUCAGGUGUGAAAGGCGGCGGCCCAACCCCCGGACUGCUCUGGAAAGUAUGUGACUGGAGUGCAGGAGAGGUGAGCGGAAUUCGUGGUGUAGCGGUGAAAUGCGUAGAUAUUAGGAGGAACACCAGUGGCGAAGGCGGCUCACUGGACUGUAACUGACGUUGAGGCUCGAAAGCGUGGGGAGCAAACAGGAUUAGAUACCCCGGUAGUC